UACGAAGGGGGCUAGCGUUGCUCGGAAUCACUGGGCGUAAAGGGCGCGUAGGUGGCGCGGGCAGUCAACGGUGAAAGUUCGGGGCUCAACCCUGAAUCGGCCGUCGAUACUCCCGUGCUUGAGCACUGUAGAGGCAGAUGGAAUUCCGGGGUGUAGCGGUGGAAUGCGUAGAGAUCCGGAAGAACACCGGUGGCGAAGGCGGUCUGCUGGGCAGUAGCUGACACUGAGGCGCGACAGCGUGGGGAGCAAACAGG
rnacentral:rRNA from 1 species